UUUGCUAAAACUCUUUUCAUUAUCUUCUCCAUUUACUUCUGUAUCUAGAUCUGAAAAAUCUCUCAAAUCUCCACUGCGAUUAAAGCUCUGCUAUUGACGCUCUGCUGCUAUUAAAAUAUCUUAUCCAUCUCCCCAUUCAGUAGAAAGAAAAUCUCCCAAAAAAUCCAUCUCUGAAUUUAGGGAUUUAUCACCUUGAGGAGUUGUUGAAAUAACAAGCUGUAAGAUAACUCCUAUCCUUACGCAAGAGAAAACAUGAUCAGUUCCUGAAAUCUUAUGAAAAUUGAUUGAUUUUGAUUCCUAGAAUCUCUGCCCAGAACAAUCCCUAGAAAUCGACCAAGUAUAGCUGAUGUGGAAGCACCAUUCUGAGGACUUUUGCUCAGCGUAAUAAACCUAGUCCUGAUUCUACAGAUGCCAAUGAAUCUUGGAGUGCUUGAUGGUUUGAGAUCCCAAAUUGUACAUCAACUAUGCAGGUCCUACGUCUAAGUUGACACUGCUUAUGAUCAGUUGUAUGGCUAAGCCUGAGAGCAGAGUUGAGCCAAGUAGAGUGCCAAGAUGUUAUUUUUAAGCAGGCAUGGCUUACACAUAUCCGGAGGAGAGCAAAAGCAGACGGUGUAGAUGAGGAUAUCGCAGAAGAGAGACUUCAAUCUUGGAUGGAUCGUGUUGGUCAAAAACCAACAUCCUGAUGAUGUUGUUGAUGUGGGAAGAGGUCUUCUGGAACUGAGAAAGCUUGGAAUCAAACAACAAAAUCGCGAAGCGGAAUUGAUGUAGGGAAAUUUUUCUACAACUACCAAUCACAAACCUAGUGUAGAUAAUGAUGUCUCCCCUUGAUCAUGAUACUCCCUUCCCAAGACUGUCAAAUACAAGAAGGGAAGUUGGAUAUUGAACCAGGUAACCUAGUCUGGCAUUUCAUUUUUAGAUCGUCAAUGGCUACAAUCAACAAUCAUAAUUAUUCCCUGUUUUCUAUAGUUUAGACCAGAUCACCACAUUGUAUGUCGAUUACGAAAUUUAGUCGUCUUCAUCAUCUCAGUAGUUACUUGUAUUACUUAAUACACAUUUAUAUCUCCAACUGUGAUACUAUAAAGUUCAAAUUGAUGAAUCUAUUUUUUUUAAUGAAAUCCUUUAAUGAAUCUGUGGGUUAUUAGA